rnacentral:rRNA from 1 species
UACGUAGGGGGCGAGCGUUGUCCGGAAUCAUUGGGCGUAAAGCGCGUGUAGGCGGUUCGGUAAGUCUGCUGUGAAAGUCCAGGGCUCAACCCUGGGAUGCCGGUGGAUACUGCUGAACUAGAGUGCGGAAGAGGCGAGUGGAAUUCCCGGUGUAGCGGUGAAAUGCGCAGAUAUCGGGAGGAACACCAAUGCGAAGGCAGCUCGCUGGGACGUUACUGACGCUGAGACGCGAAAGCGUGGGGAGCAAACAGG